rnacentral:rRNA from 1 species
UACGGAAGGCAGCAGUGGGGAAUAUUGCACAAUGGGCGAAAGCCUGAUGCAGCUAUGCCGCGUGUAUGAAGAAGGCCUUAGGGUUGUAAAGUACUUUCAUCGGGGAGGAAAAAACAAAACUAAUAAUUUUAUUUCUUGACGUUACCCAAAAAAGAAGCACCGGCUAACUCCGUGCCAGCAGCCGCGGUAAUACGGAGGGUGCUAGCGUUAAUCAGAAUUACUGGGCGUAAAGAGCACGUAGGUGGUUUUUUUAAGUCAGAUGUGAAAUCCCUGGGCUUAACCUAGGAACUGCAUUUUGAAACUGAAAUACUAGAGUAUCGUAGAGGGAGGUAGAAUUCUAGGUGUAGCGGUGAAAUGCGUAGAUAUCUGGAGGAAUACCUGUGGCGAAAGCGGCCUCCUAAACGAAUACUGACACUGAGGUGCGAAAGCGUGGGGAGCAAACAGGGAUUAGAUACC